UUAUAUAUAGUAUAGUAUAAUAAUAUAUUCUAUAAUAUUAUUAAUUAUAUUAUAUUAGAUUAUAUUAUAUAAU